rnacentral:tRNA from 1 species
GUCCUCACAAGGUAUCACAAUUGGUUUCCGGUACCAAAGGUCGCAGGUUCGAUUCCUGUCGGGGGCA